rnacentral:lncRNA from 1 species
GAACCAUCAAACUAGUGUUUUCAUUUCGUCAGAAAUAAUCGCAGAUUCAUGAGAAAUCCAUCCCUCUCUUGACUCGAUCAAUUUGAAUAUCAAUUUCAAAUCAAAUAUUUAAAUUCAAUUUCCAUCUAAAUUCCAAUAAAAACUCAGUUAUUACUCCCCUCUAACAAAAAAUUUCAUCCCUAAACUUAAUUACAUAUCCUCCACAAAUAACUAUGGAUACUGCUUCUGCAUAGAAGAUUCAAGCUCCCAAGUAGCCUUGCACUCCUUAUGAUUCUCCCACCGUACCUCUACAUAUAUAAUGCUCUGAUUCUGCAGUUACUUCACCUCACAUGCCAAUAUCUACUUCGAAAUUUCAUCAUAGCUCAGAUCAUCUCACAGCUGAACAAU